rnacentral:tRNA from 1 species
GGCUGGGUAGCUUAGUGAAUAGAGCGUCAGAUUCCGGUUCUGAAGGUCGAGGGUUUGAAUCCCUCCCUGGUCACGA